GGAUUAUCAAGUNUCUUGUGAAAUCUAACGGCUUANCCGUUAAACUGCUUGGGAAACUGAUAAUCUAGAGUAAGGGAGAGGCAGAUGGAAUUCUUGGUGUAGGGGUAAAAUCCGUAGAGAUCAAGAAGAAUACCCAUUGCGAAAGCGAUCUGCUGGAACUUAACUGACGCUAAUGCGUGAAAGCGUGGGGAGCAAACAGGAUUAGAUACCCUGGUAGUUCACGCCCUAAACGAUGUAUACUAGUUGUUGCUUCGCUAGUCGAGGUAGUAAUGCACCUAACGGAUUAAGUAUACCGCCUGGGGAGUACGGUCGCAAGAUUAAAACUCAAAGGAAUAGACGGGGACCCGCACAAGCGGUGGAGCAUGUGGUUUAAUUCGAAGAUACGCGAAGAACCUUACCCGGACUUGAUAUCUAACAAAUCAUCCAGAGAUGGAAGAGUGUCUGCUUGCAGAAAUGUUAAGACAGGUGCUGCACGGCUGUCGUCAGCUCGUGUCGUGAGAUGUUGGGUUAAGUCCCGCAACGAGCGCAACCCACGUCAUUAGUUGCUAACGGUUCGGCCGAGCACUCUAAUGAGACUGCCUUCGCAAGGAGGAGGAAGGUGUGGACGACGUCAAGUCAUCAUGGCCCUAUGUCCGGGGCGACACACGUGCUACAAUGGCGUAUACAAUGAGACGCAAUAUCGCGAGAUGGAGCAAAUCUAUAAAAUACGUCCCAGUUCGGAUUGGAGUCUGCAACUCGACUCCAUGAAGCCGGAAUCGCUAGUAAUCGUAGAUCAGCCAUGCUACGGUGAAUACGU
rnacentral:rRNA from 1 species